UGGGGCGACGCCGUGUAUGUGUGCAAGGCACACAAGUCCGAGUCAAUUUCUUCAACUGAAAAAAAAUUCAUUUCCUUUUCUCGCGUCGAUUAUUCUAUUCUCUUCGGUGCGGUAUUAAUACAACAUGGCGUUCGCAUUGAUUUUCAUCAGCACAAAAUUUUCCAAUUCGCGCUGAACGCCUUUUUACAUUCAAGAUCUAAAUUGAGUUUGAAUUUUCUGAGUAACGUGUUUUAAUUUCCUGAUCCGAUUUUUGUUAAAAACAAAACCGUUUAUCAACCAGAGUGAUAAAAAUUUGGUAACGGAAAAACCAUCGACAUCCACAUAAAACAAAAUUUUGGAAAAAUUGGAAUUAAUUUGUGUUGAACGAAAAUUAUUGCAGUUCGGCUACAUAAUAGUGUGUAUGUUCAUUGAAUCGUUGUGUGAAACGUUGAAAAUAUUUAAAGCUUUAGUAUAUAACCAAUAUCACACCCAUUCAAUAUAACAGGGGUAAUAGAUUACCUAGUUGCGCUUAAUGAAGUGACAAAAAAAAAAGAAGAAAGAAACGAGAAGUGCUUGACGAAAAAGAAGAGAACACACAAAAUAGAAAACAAGUCAUUACAAUCAGUGUAGUGUUGUUGAAUAUUGUUUAAUUUAGAAGUUAAAUACACGGAAACACAUGAAGCAAAAAUUCAUUUAAUGUCUCAGGAUUGAGUGCCCCAUCAUCGUUGACUGCUUCAUUUUGUAAUAUGGAUGAGAAAUUGUGUGUUUGAAAAUCGACUUUCUUCUAUUUGAUGGUGGCCAACAAAGUUUUUAAAACCGAAUGCGCUAAAAAUAUAUAUCGUAUGUAAGUGUGAUGUUGUCAAGUCUGAAACGAUAAACAGCUAUAAUAUAUACGUAAAAUAGUAAAUCCAAAAAGAAUGUAAAAUUUUAUAAUAUAAAAAAAACAGUAUAACGAGCAAUUUAAAAGAAAGCAAAUUAUUCCAGAAAAUUAGAUUAAAUUCAACUUCUAAACAAUCCCGCACAACAAGGACAUUUGUUAAUUGAAAUAUUUUACGUGAAAUUUUUUCGCACCGAUUGAAAUUGUUUGCAAACUAAAAAAUAAGUGUUGAAACGUUAUUUGAAAUUUAAACAAAAAAAAAAAAAAAAAAAAAAAAAAA